rnacentral:misc_RNA from 1 species
UUGAAAUGUGGCAUUUCACCGCAAGUGUGUCCACGUUAGUUGUCCUUUGCAUUUACUGCAUCGUAUACACUAGUGCACUCUCUUUUAGUAAAGAAUAUACAUGCACUAAACACAUCAAGGCCAUUCCGUUGGAAAAAACUGAUCCGCCAGUUGUUGUCACGCAACGUAUGAACUCAACUGUUCCAGACCAACUUGAAGUGACGUUUGAAAGUAUACAAGAAGAUCUCAACGUCUCGAUAUUUGCCUACCCGUAUAUUGAUAAUGAAGCGGAUUGUCCGGCAGAUAAACCAAAUUCAAGUUUUUCUAACACUGUCAAAUACCACUGCGUGAACCAGACGAUUUACUUUCAGAAUGAAAGCCAGCAUCAGAAUCUAUCGUAUUCAAACUUAUUUACUGGCUGUUAUUACAUUCAACUGUCAAACAAAGAAUGUAAAACUUGGGUAAAAGGCCCUACCUUUUACAAGACGAUGACUCCUUACAUUGAUACAAAAAUCAAGCACAGUAAUGGCGUAUUCUUACCCGAGGAUUCCACAACGAGCAGAACGUAUCGUGUCAAGCUAUCAAUACCGUUUAAAUGUUACGAAGUAAACGUUAAUCUAUGGGAGUGUUCGACUGGAGCCCUACCCAGUGAAAUGUGCGCGGAACGUAAAGACCACCCAACCCAAUCGUGCACCUUUUCAAUUUACGAUAAACCCCGAUGUGACUAUCCAUUCCCAGCUCCUAAACUCAAGAUUCGAGACUGUAAUUCUACAUCUGGCAGCGAAAGAUGGACAGCAGAUAUUGAAUGGACUGGUCUGAAACGAGGAAGUGCUUCGUAUUACUCCAUGUACGCACGGAGUAAUAGCAAUUGCUCAUACGAAAUAAUCAGUUACACAAAUUGCUGGAAACCUGCAUACAAAUCUGGUGUGAUUUCUCACGGUAUUCAGGACGCGAAUAGCACUCCUCCUGAGGAUGUCCUGGCUUCCUCGAGUACGAUUCUUCCGAUUAUUGGUUACGUAGCACUGGGUGUCAUUAUAAUAUUGAUACUAUUUUACUGGAUAUGGAAAUGUGGAGUCAUUACAUGUGCAAAGAAAUCGACGACACAUAUAUUACCUCAGAUAUCAGGAGUAAUGAUAAACCUAGACUACGUAAAAAAAUCAAGACAAAUUCUAUUAAUGUACGCGAAGGGUUCACCUGAUUUCAUGGCUAAAAUGAAUACUUUUCGAGAUGAGAUACAGCGGAAGUGUCAGUGUCACGUUUAUGACUUGCAGUCGGAAGAAGAUGCUAAUACAAUUGCGGAUAUGGGCCCUAUUAGAUGGACUGAGCAGAUUCUAAGGGAAGGUAGUAAAGUAAUUUGGAUCGAUACCCCGCAACUCCGUUCUCUUUUGAAAAAUUCUAAAUCUGACGAAGAGGAAGAAGAGUAUGCACGUGACUUUCGUAACCCUGCAUUCUUAUUCGCUCUGGAUCAUAUUAUAAGUAUAUCUGAAAAUGUAAUCGCCCAAUAUCAACGCUACUUUGUUGUCCGGUGCAAGGAAUUCAAAGUUGACAAUGACUGUGAUGAUGAUCCAUUACUAGCGGUCUCGCCACAAGCUCGCUAUCCCAUUCCCGACUGUUUUGAAGACCUGUGCAAGGAUAUGUAAGAUAUUUCAAUUUGAAUUUUCGUUGUCGCCGAUGCAUAAAGUAAUGUAGUGAUCAGUGUCUAUGUAAACCAGGAUAUCACGAUUCUUCUGCUUCAUUAUUCAUCAGUUUUCAAUCUGUGAUUCGAUGCCUCCAGUGAAAUGACUGUACAAUUUUGUAUCGUAGAGAAAUGCUACAACGGGCAUAAAACACAUAUUUAAUUCAUCUAUGAACGAUAUACAUAAGUUUAGAAAUAAUCUAUUUUUCAUUAGUUUAUUAUAACUGGUAGAUAAUUGUGAAGUACUACUGCGUAUAAAAUAUUGAUUGAAGUUAUACUAUACGUAUAUUGGUAAAUUAUAAAGUUAAGGAGCUUCGUGGGGAAAAUUAAAAUGUAGUCAUGAAACUCAAGUUUUUACAUAAUAUUGACUGAUAUUAAUUACGUUAAGCGACGCAAAACCUCAGAUGAAUAGUCUACAUAGAUUCCGAGUAAUUAAUAGUUGACGUUGUACUUCUUAUACAUGGGCGCUUAUGGCGGUACGUAACAGGCAUCAGGUAUGCGGCGAAAUGUCGCUUACUGUCAAAACCACAGACAAAAAAUGUAGACACCUCAAUGAAAAACUAUCUACGUGGUAAACGGUGCUCUUAAGAAGAUGGUCGUAAAAUAUGAAGAUCUUUAUCUGUAUCUUUUGCGAAUAACAGUAAAAACUGUGAUGUGUUUUGCACGAUGUUUUACACAUGAUCCUCAAGCGAAUGCUCAUCAAAUACUUUUUUGGAAUUGUAUAAUAGCGAAGUUCAAUUCACUUCAUUUGGAAAAAGAGAUUAGAUGACAAACGAUGCAUAUUACAUUAGUAAUUUGUCCAAAACCUUUACUCUGAAAUUUAAAAAAAAAUAUAUUAGUGAGAACGACGUUGAGAACCAUUGGUCGGGCUCGCUUACCCAUCACACCGCUUGUCCCGGAGAACCGAUAAGUUUUAAGAAUCGCAAUUUCGUGUAUCGUCGCUAUUGUAAACAUGAAAAACGUGGUGUAAAUAAACCCUUUGAUACAAUCGAA